ACUUGAUGAUGUGGGCAUUUAUAGAGCAGGUCCCUAAAGCGCUCCUAGGUCUCAAAGAAAAUUUCCCCAUCCGUUUGUGCAAAACUUGUGAUUACCCUUCACAAUU